GUGUCUCGAGCUGACUCCAACCCCUGUGACAUACCAAUUGUUGCCUCGGCGGAUCAGCCCGCUCCCGGUAAAACGGGACGGCCCGCCAGAGGACCCCUAAACUCUGUUUCUAUAUGUAACUUCUGAGUAAAACCAUAAAUAAAUCAAAACUUUCAACAACGGAUCUCUUGGUUCUGGCAUCGAUGAAGAACGCAGCAAAAUGCGAUAAGUAAUGUGAAUUGCAGAAUUCAGUGAAUCAUCGAAUCUUUGAACGCACAUUGCGCCCGCCAGUAUUCUGGCGGGCAUGCCUGUUCGAGCGUCAUUUCAACCCUCAAGCCCUCGGGUUUGGUGUUGGGGAUCGGCGAGCCCUUGCGGCAAGCCGGCCCCGAAAUCUAGUGGCGGUCUCGCUGCAGCUUCCAUUGCGUAGUAGUAAAACCCUCGCAACUGGUACGCGGCGCGGCCAAGCCGUUAAACCCCCAACUUCUGAAUGUUGACCUCGGAUCAGGUAGGAAUACCCGCUGAACUUAAAGCAUAUCAAACGGGAAAGAAAA
rnacentral:rRNA from 1 species